AGUGAACGCUGGCGGUAGGCCUAACACAUGCAAGUCGAACGGCAGCACAGGAGAGCUUGCUCUCUGGGUGGCGAGUGGCGGACGGGUGAGGAAUACAUCGGAAUCUACUCUGUCGUGGGGGAUAACGUAGCGAAACUUACGCUAAUACCGCAUACGACCUACGGGUGAAAGCAGGGGACCUUCGGGCCUUGCGCGAUUGAAUGAGCCGAUGUCGGAUUAGCUAGUUGGCGGGGUAAAGGCCCACCAAGGCGACGAUCCGGAGCUAGUCUGAGAGGAUGAUCAGCCACACUGGAACUGAGACACGGUCCAGACUCCUACGGGAGGCAGCAGUGGGGAAUAUUGGACAAUGGGCGCAAGCCUGAUCCAGCCAUACCGCGUGGGUGAAGAAGGCCUUCGGGUUGUAAAGCCCUUUUGUUGGGAAAGAAAUCCAGCUGGCUAAUACCCGGUUGGGAUGACGGUACCCAAAGAAUAAGCACCGGCUAACUUCGUGCCAGCAGCCGCCGUAA
rnacentral:rRNA from 1 species